rnacentral:ribozyme from 17 species
CGGUGAAAUUCAUCCUGGAAAUGAAACUUUUACUGAGAACACUUAUAUAGGAUAAACAAUACCAAGUGCAAACUUGUUUUAGUUUGUAUUAUUUUUCAGCUUUUCUUUUUUCUUUCGUUUUUCCCUCCUUUCUUCAUUCUUU